rnacentral:rRNA from 1 species
UUUAUGGAGAGUUUGAUCCUGGCUCAGGAUGAACGCUGGCGGCGUGCCUAAUACAUGCAAGUCGAGCGAACGGACGAGAAGCUUGCUUCUCUGAUGUUAGCGGCGGACGGGUGAGUAACACGUGGAUAACCUGCCUAUAAGACUGGGAUAACUUCGGGAAACCGGAGCUAAUACCGGAUAAUAUUUUGAACCGCAUGGUUCAAAAGUGAAAGACGGUCUUGCUGUCACUUAUAGAUGGAUCCGCGCUGCAUUAGCUAGUUGGUAAGGUAACGGCUUACCAAGGCAACGAUGCAUAGCCGACCUGAGAGGGUGAUCGGCCACACUGGAACUGAGACACGGUCCAGACUCCUACGGGAGGCAGCAGUAGGGAAUCUUCCGCAAUGGGCGAAAGCCUGACGGAGCAACGCCGCGUGAGUGAUGAAGGUCUUCGGAUCGUAAAACUCUGUUAUUAGGGAAGAACAUAUGUGUAAGUAACUGUGCACAUCUUGACGGUACCUAAUCAGAAAGCCACGGCUAACUACGUGCCAGCAGCCGCGGUAAUACGUAGGUGGCAAGCGUUAUCCGGAAUUAUUGGGCGUAAAGCGCGCGUAGGCGGUUUUUUAAGUCUGAUGUGAAAGCCCACGGCUCAACCGUGGAGGGUCAUUGGAAACUGGAAAACUUGAGUGCAGAAGAAGAAAGUGGAAUUCCAUGUGUAGCGGUGAAAUGCGCAGAGAUAUGGAGGAACACCAGUGGCGAAGGCGACUUUCUGGUCUGUAACUGACGCUGAUGUGCGAAAGCGUGGGGAUCAAACAGGAUUAGAUACCCUGGUAGUCCACGCCGUAAACGAUGAGUGCUAAGUGUUAGGGGGUUUCCGCCCCUUAGUGCUGCAGCUAACGCAUUAAGCACUCCGCCUGGGGAGUACGACCGCAAGGUUGAAACUCAAAGGAAUUGACGGGGACCCGCACAAGCGGUGGAGCAUGUGGUUUAAUUCGAAGCAACGCGAAGAACCUUACCAAAUCUUGACAUCCUUUGACAACUCUAGAGAUAGAGCUUUCCCCUUCGGGGGACAAAGUGACAGGUGGUGCAUGGUUGUCGUCAGCUCGUGUCGUGAGAUGUUGGGUUAAGUCCCGCAACGAGCGCAACCCUUAAGCUUAGUUGCCAUCAUUAAGUUGGGCACUCUAAGUUGACUGCCGGUGACAAACCGGAGGAAGGUGGGGAUGACGUCAAAUCAUCAUGCCCCUUAUGAUUUGGGCUACACACGUGCUACAAUGGACAAUACAAAGGGCAGCGAAACCGCGAGGUCAAGCAAAUCCCAUAAAGUUGUUCUCAGUUCGGAUUGUAGUCUGCAACUCGACUACAUGAAGCUGGAAUCGCUAGUAAUCGUAGAUCAGCAUGCUACGGUGAAUACGUUCCCGGGUCUUGUACACACCGCCCGUCACACCACGAGAGUUUGUAACACCCGAAGCCGGUGGAGUAACCUUUUAGGAGCUAGCCGUCGAAGGUGGGACAAAUGAUUGGGGUGAAGUCGUAACAAGGUAGCCGUAUCGGAAGGUGCGGCUGGAUCACCUCCUUU